AGAAUGCAUCGAAAAUCUUUUUUUUUUAAGCAAUGAAAUUUCUUUAUUAAUAAUUUUUAAUAAUUUAGGAAAAACUUGGCAUAAAUUUUUUUUUAUAGACAAUGAAAUUAUUUUAUUAAUAAUUUUAAAAAAACUUAGCAUGGUCGCUUCACAUAUACGAUUUCAGAUACACCCAACCUAUGAAUCGGAAUGUUAAGUGAAAAAACCAAAGGAAAUGAAGCUUUGAUAUCAUAACCCAACUAUUGCUUUGCUUGCAUAAUCAAACAAACUUGAUAUACUUCACCUCAGAUGCAUUUGGUAUUAAUGGAUUUUUUUUUAAGGCACAACAGGUAGCAGCAGGACAUCUGACUAUGACAUCAGUAUCAAUAUUUCUACUACUAUCAUUGCCCCCACUAGCUGUUUGGUCACUACUACUGGUAUUGUAUUUAUUCACUUUGACUAGAGGAUGAGAUCUACAGCUUUGCAUUUUUAGUGUUGCCAACUUCAGACUUGGGCCAAAUCCUAGAGACUUGAAACCA
rnacentral:misc_RNA from 1 species